AAUGAACGCUGGCGGCGUGCCUAACACAUGCAAGUCGAGCGAGAAAGUCCUUCGGGAGUGAGUACAGCGGCGGACGGGUGAGGAACGCGUGAGAAUCUGCCCUUUAGUGAAGGAUACCCUCGAGAAAUCGAGGUUAAUACUGCAUACGUCCCCUACGGGGAGAAAGGUGGCUUAUGCUGUCGCUAAAGGAUGAGCUUGCGUACUAUCAGCUAGUUGGGGGG
rnacentral:rRNA from 1 species